rnacentral:rRNA from 1 species
AGCAGCCGCGGUAAUUCCAGCUCCAAUAGCGUAUAUUAAAGUUGUUGCAGUUAAAAAGCUCGUAGUUGAAUUUCGGGGUUCUACCGUUGGUCGGGCUUUGUCUGUACUGGCGUGUAGAAUUUCUACCUUCUGGGGAACCAUCAUGUUAUUAAUUUAACGUGGUGGGAAACCAGGACCUUUACCUUGAAAAAAUUAGAGUGUUCAAAGCAGGCUUAUGUCUGAAUACAUUAGCAUGGAAUAAUAAAAUAGGACGGUGGUCCUGUUUUGUUGGUUUCUGAAUCACCGUAAUGAUUAAUAGGGAUAGUUGGGGGCAUUAGUAUUCAAUUGUCAGAGGUGAAAUUCUUGGAUUUAUUGAAGACUAACUUCUGCGAAAGCAUUUGCCAAGGAUGUUUUCAUUAAUCAAGAACGAAAGUUAGGGGAUCGAAGACGAUCAGAUACCGUCGUAGUCUUAACCAUAAACUAUGCCGACUAGGGAUCGGACGAUGUUAAUUUUUCUUGACUCG